rnacentral:rRNA from 1 species
CACACUAUCAUUAACUGAAUCCAUAGGUUAAUGAGGCGAACCGGGGGAACUGAAACAUCUAAGUACCCCGAGGAAAAGAAAUCAACCGAGAUUCCCCCAGUAGCGGCGAGCGAACGGGGAGCAGCCCAGAGCCUGAAUCAGUGUGUGUGUUAGUGGAAGCGUCUGGAAAGGCGCGCGAUACAGGGUGACAGCCCCGUACACAAAAAUGCACAUGCUGUGAGCUCGAUGAGUAGGGCGGGACACGUGGUAUCCUGUCUGAAUAUGGGGGGACCAUCCUCCAAGGCUAAAUACUCCUGACU